AUUGAAAAUCUGUGGUGUGAUUUUAAGCGGGCUGUCCAUGCUUGGAAACCAACAAACCUGAGAUGUUUUCUAAAGAAGAAUGGUCCAAAAUACCUUCAACCAGAAUCCAGACUCUCACUGAAAGCUACAGGAAGCGUUUAGAAGCUGUUAUUUACGCAAAAAGAGGAUCUACUAAAUAUUGAUGUAUUUUUUUUCUUGUGGUGCCCAAAUGUAUGCACAUGCUGUACGCAGU